UGUGGUGUGUGCAUCACAAAAAGGUGCUCUUGGAAAUAGCAUUUCCGGUAUAAACAGGAAGUGUCAAAUGACCCUGAAGUGACAGUUUCCGGUGGGUGGCCAGAGGCAUUUCUGGGCCGAAUCUGCAAAUCUGGAAUGCUACGCAGACGUGGCCAUUAGUUGAUGUGUCUUGAGGGAAGCUGGUGGAUGGAGAGCAUCGACAUCAUGCCAACAACUGCUGCUGAAAGGAAUAAAGACAUGCAUAUUUAAUAUGGAAGCAUAUGGUUGUCAUCGGAGGAGGUCAGCGCUUGAGGCGAAGCUGAGGCUUCUUCCUGUGGGCUAUGCAUCUGCCCUCCACUCGUUGGACGUUGGGAUUGACAAGAAGUGAGACUCUUGUACUCAAGGAUGACGAUCAGAGGUGAGGUUGUUUUUGUUUAGUAUGCCCUCUACUGUCCAGGUGUGGUUACUACACUUUGAGGUGUUCACUCCUUCUUUGCAUUCCUCAUCAGAUGGCCGACUCAAGUCAGGUGUGUGUUUGUGGAGAUACUAGCGAGAGCGUGGAAGCAACCCUCUUUGGCUGGAUAUGAUUUUUAAAGCAUAAUUUAAAAGCAUUAUUUUUGCAUUGUUUUCAAGGUGCGUAUAGUUUUCCAACAAUCCACCCGCUUCCUGAGCUUCUCUCCUGAACUCCUAUCAUGGCAGAUUGUUUGCAGUGUGGCAGUUGUGGAUGAGGCUGAUCUUCCUAAUGCACCUUCCUCUGCAGAGGAUAUAAAUUAGUCUGAACUAUAGAGCUGAUCUACCGCUGCCAACCUCAUCUGCAAAGUGAGGGGUGUGAGGCGGUAUGGAGAAGAUGCAAUGUCAGACUGCUCUCUCUGAGUUUUCCCACAAGGACAGACUUAUGGCACGACUUUUACCACAUGCAGCUAAAAGCAAGUACAGCUUACUGCAUUUAGUACACAAAUGUGGUAUCAAUGAGCCCGUGAUGUUUCUUGAUUCACUUUUCCAGCUGUAUCAAUUUUAUCAAACUGAUAUAUGAACCUCAGAAUAAAUAAAUGGGGCUAAAGAAGGAGCCCUGGGGAACACCGCAACAAGAAACCUUAUUAAACUUGACAACCAGGGACUAAGUGACAGAGAUAAACCUCGAAGUUCUUUCAGGGUUGAUAAUUUGAUCUACCGACUCGUUACCAAACAAAUCUUUUAAGUCUUAUUACCAGAAUCACUUCCCAACACUAGCUUUAGCUUUUUAAUUCCCGUAUCGGUCUGCUCGUACUCCAGUUGUAAAUGAUCUGUCUCAUCAACUUAAAGGUGUUAUUUCAUCUAAGGUUAAAGGAAAAUAUAUCACAACAAAAAGUAUAAGACACCUUUGAUAAAGUUCAAUAACAGAUGAGUGAAUGUGAAGUGCUAAUCAAAUGGUUUCUUUUGGAAAAUAGUCAAGUCGUGUGAGCCUGCUUAGUCCGGGACGAUGCA